rnacentral:rRNA from 1 species
AGGGCACCACCAGGAGUGGAGCCUGCGGCUUAAUUUGACUCAACACGGGAAAUCUCACCAGGCCCGGACACCGGAAGGAUUGACAGAUUGAGAGCUCUUUCUUGAUUCGGUGGGUGGUGGUGCAUGGCCGUUCUUAGUUGGUGGAGCGAUUUGUCUGGUUAAUUCCGAUAACGAACGAGACUCUGGCCUACUAACUAGACGUUAGAUCCCUUUGUGGGUCUAUCGCAGCUUCUUAGAGGGACGGGCGGCGUUUAGCCGCACGAGAUUGAGCAAUAACAGGUCUGUGAUGCCCUUAGAUGUUCUGGGCUGCACGCGCGCUACACUGAAGGAAUCAGCGUGUGUUCCCUGUCCGAAAGGGCUGGGAAACCCGUUGAACCUCCUUCGUGAUGGGGAUUGGGGAUUGCAAUUAUUCCCCAUGAACGAGGAAUUCCCAGUAGGCGCGAGUCAUAAGCUUGCGUCGAUUACGUCCCUGCCCUUUGUACACACCGCCCGUCGCUACUACCGAUCGAGUGAUUUAGU